rnacentral:misc_RNA from 1 species
UCCAAGAUGAACUCACGGCCCAGGAGCCAGAACACAUGCAACCCUAAGCUAACACCAGCGGCCUAAUGGAUGGCAGCAUGCCUGUACCCUUUUGCUCCGAUCCCCCGCAGGAGGAGAGAAAAAGCCAGUGUUCGGCCAACUCCAAGCGGAGCCCAGUAAAAGCCCCAACAAAUUGAGAGACUUAAAAAGUUGACAAAAAGAAGAGCAAUAAUUAUAACGGCUCAUUUUCCGCAUAAGAAGAACGCGAAAGUAUGUAAAACUAUAUCCCUUCCGCGCAAUUUGUAUGUACAAAUCAGCCAUCCAAAUUGUAGCUUUUUUUAAUAUGAA